rnacentral:lncRNA from 1 species
UUUGUCUUUUAGCAAAAUUGCAGUUACUUCUAUAGCUCCUAUUUUGAGUUUUUUAGCUUUAAACUUACAUUUGUAAAAUGUUAGCCAUAGAUGUGAUUCUUUGUUGCUGUUUGGUAAAAAUGGGUUUCUGAUUGCUGUCUCAUUGUAUUGUGAUGGGAUGUACUGAUGAAUGAAAAAAGAGAGAAAAAGGGAAUUGAUUUUUCUUCAUAUGUCCUAAGUAGGACUCCUCAAUCAACAGUGCCAUCUAUGGAAUAGUCAUUUAAAUAUACAUUUAGUGUGUAAGUCAAAAUCCCAAGCCUAAGGCAUAGCAUAUCUAAUAAGCAAACCCUAAAGAUCUGCUGUAAACCAUUUCUUUCCAGCUACAUCUUAAUUGUGCUGUAAUGGAAGCAUUAACGUCUAGCUUAGAGAAAAGAUUGAGUAGCCUAUUCGCAUUCACAUUAUACAAAAGUUGAGCAGGACAGAUUAGGUAAAAUUAUAAAAGUUGAGUUUUAUAUAUAUAUAUUUGUUUUAUUUUUUAAAUCUCAAUAAAAGGUACUACAACUAACCUCUGAAUAUUCUGUUGCCCAAACAUAUGUUAUGUUCUCAGACAAACUGAAGAGGUUACCCUUAUCAUAUACCUCAUCCCAGCGUAGACCUAGGCUGAGUCCUAUGCCUGAUAUGUGGUAAGUGCUUAGUAAAAUCUUGUAAUAUUGAAUAUUUGAUGACUGUAAAGAAAAAUAAAGGCCAUGCAUGGUGGAUAUAUGACUGACAAACAGCUGUCGUGGAAGAACCAUGAAGUGCCCAGGUUGCCAAAAACCAAGUCUACUGGAAUAAAAGGAAAUAGUUGUCUGGUAGCUCCUAGUCAGAGAGCUGAUAUGCACUGCUCACUUCACAACAUGGCAGAUUUAGUGCUGCACCACUAAAUCAUUGCUCUACUCGGCUUCUGCUAGAAGUGUCAGAGAUAGGCUGAUCUGAUUCCUUCUAUAGAAGAAAAAAGAAUGUGAGCAUCAGUUCCUUCACAAGUUUGCAGUGAACUGCUAAACUAUGAAGAUUUCACCCUUAAUACACAGAGAAAAAUUUGCUAUAGUUUUCUUUUUUUUUAAGGUUGCCAUCAUAGCCUGAAGGACUGAUCUCCAAGUAGUGAUCAAGUGGGCAAGGAAAAGUGAAGUUAAGACACUUCAGACUGAUGAUUUGAGUUGGCUUGAGAGUGAAUAUUUGAAAAAGUAGCUACUAGGAACUUUAUUCUUUCUACCUUUUGAGAAACUCAGUAUUAUUGUGUAAAGUAGUUCUCUAAAGUAAAAUAAAGACUAUAGAGGUAUGCUUUAGGGAUAUGGAAUCAAAUCAGAGAGGACAAAGCUAUGCUUCUAGGUACUUCUACUUGCUUCUUUUGAGAGUGUUUGACAGUUAAUCCAUUUGAUUAAUUUGUUCACUGCAACCUAUGAGCCCAAGUGGAGACCCACAUCUACCUCUUAUUGCUUCCAAAUCUGUAAUGAACACAACCUGUAAGAUAAAUGGUCCAUUUGCCAUAGAACUGAAUACAAAACUUAAAGUUCAUGGUUAGCUUGAAGUUCUUCAAUAUUAGCAUUUUAUCAUCUUGCUCCCACUCUUUCCUCCCCACAUGAUCUUCAGCUCUGUUCAAAGCAUUAAAAAAAUCUCUAAAUGAUUUUUUAAAAAGCUGCUAAAUCUUCAUCUGAAAUUGAUCCACAAUUAUCUUCAAGCAGGAGACUCCUUUCUGAGGGUACUUACAGACUAGGAGUGGGUUUCUGAGAGGAUGAUUUUCAGUACAAUGAAAUGGAAUCUUUCUCUUGCAUUUUUUAGGAUCCACAUGCAGUAGUGGUAACAUUAAAAUAAAGAUUCAUUUGAUCAUAUGAAAAAGAUGACUCUUCCCAUCAGAAUUUAUGCUGCCUUUUUUAGCCAUCUUUACAAAGGCCGUGUCUACCAGCUUAAUCCCUGACAUGUGAAGACUGUCCAUUGACAGUCAUCCAGAUGACCUGUGUUGCAGUGUUGUGCUGUUCAGGAAUUUAGUGCCAGCCAACGCAAUGACUGCUUGAGCAGUGUAGUUUUGAUUUGCACAGUAGUAGUGCUAUUUUUAUUCUCCCUCUGGGGGGAAUGUUGGAGGCUGGCUCUUUAAACAUAACCAGUUUAGAAUGAAGCAGCCAUAUGGCUGAUUACAGUGAUGCUUUUCAUUUUAGUUCAGUUUUGAUUAAAUUAGAAUCUGAUACUGUAAGUACUCUCUCAUAUAACAACAGAACAAAGGUUGGGCAUCUCAAUUUUGGUAUCAUGUUUGUAAAUAAAUGUUGAAAUUCUAAAGGUAAUGUGAAGGAUCAAGCAUUAUGUACAUUUUUAAAUUCUUGAUAUUUAAAAUAACUUUUCAUAUUUACAUAACGCCUUACUUCAGUACUUAAAUUUUUCAUAUAUACAUAAUGUCUUAAUGGACUGUUUACUUCGAAGUACUUUAAAGUUUAGUGAGAAAUUGAGGAAGAGAAAUGAACAUAUAAAAAUAUUUCUUUAGAAAGGAAGUUAUAAGACAGUUUACCAAAUGCAAGUAAAACUGGAAUUAAGCAGUAUGUAUACCUAGAGGUCAGUUCACAUUAAUAAUAAACAUUAAAUAAACAGAUUCUUUCGUUACAUAAAAGAGCUGAUUUUCACUAUCCUUUUUCCUUAAGAACUAAUGUUGUCUUUUGUAGUAAUUUAUCAUCUUUUCUUUGAUAGUGACUUCUUAUAAAAGAUGUAGAAAUCAGAAUAGAAGGGGGAAAUCAAAGGAAUAUGAGAUCUGUGCACAUUACUGCAAUUAUUUGUAAUUUGUUCAGAUAUUCUUCUAUGAAGCUUACAAAUCUUUUUCUAAAUUGUGAAUGCCAGAAUAAAGUGCAUCAACUUGCUACAGUAAGUUUUAGAUAGAAAAAGUUGAUAUUAUUAAUUUUAAAUUUUUAUUGAGAAGUUGCCUUUUGAAAGGCAUUGCACUAUGUCCAAAUCUUGAAAUACAAACAUUAUACUAUUUUUGUGAGUGCCAUGAUAUCACAAUAUUGUACCCAUAGGUCAUUUUUAGACAUCGAACAUAAUUUAAUUUUUAAUUAAUAUUUUUGUAUGAAGCAGUAAGAAAUUAUGAGAGGUUUUUAUUAUGGAGAAGUUUUUGGAGAGAUUUCAGUUAUGUUGAGAAACUUUUUUCCUAAAAGCUGUUCUGUAACUUUGGUUCCCAGGUGUCAGAUUUGUCCAUUUUGUUUGACAUUGAAGUGUACUUAAGGAACCUGUAGAGAAUGGUAACCUUGACCCUCCUUGGGAAGCUCUAGUCUGUUAGUCAACCAGUUAGUCUGUAAGUCAGUCACUCACCGGUCAGUCAGUUAGGCAGUGAAUUUACAGUUACUUGUUACAAGGUAGAAAAUUUUGGAACCUAAAAGAGAGUGCAGACUUUCUCAUCACUGCAAGCACCAUGAUUCAGUCCUCCAUCUAGGCUGAUAUAUGGGAGAGCAGGGAGAUAAAGAAUUACUUGAUGACUGAGAAGCUUUAAUCGGGGGAUAAAAUUCUGACCCAUAAUCUGCUUGAUUUAAGUAAGUAAAUUGAAAGACUGCUCUUAUUAUAUCCACACUAUUUUGGAAUACAUCAUGAUAUUAGGCAAAAAUAGUGGGCUAUUGUAUAUAUAACACUAGGGCUAAAACUUAGUUUAAUCACUAAUUCAUGUCAUGAUUUUUAUCAAAUCUAGUUGUUGGUCCAUAGCCUUUUUAAUUAGAUUAUUGGGCAAAUAAUUCCUGUGCCUUAUAAUUCUAGAAUUCUAUAAUAUUUUCUUUAUUUGUAUUAAUCUAUAGAAUAGUAAUUGUCAACAAUUAAGGACAGCUUUCUGGUCUACUUGAGGUUGUUUCUUUGUACCAUCUCAAGCUGAUAUGUAUAUCCUUUCAUUUUGUUAGAGUCAACUUUACAAACUGUUUUAGUGAUAUCCAUCAAAUAGAUCAUUAAGUUCAGUGGAUGGUGGUAUAGAAUUGGGUAUGACUUGCUACAAAUAUAAAGUAACAGAAUAUUAUUAAUCCAGUGCCAAAGAAAGAUAAUUUCCUUAAGAAGGUGAUAUUAGGCCUGUCAUAUUAAGAUAGUAAACUGUUACUGAAACAACAGCACAAUGCUAACUGAAAAUGUGCAUGGUAGAAUAAUUGUGAAUGGUUUCUAGAUACUGAGACAUCUUGUUAUACUACAGUAAUGACUGCAUUAUAAUUAUAAUCGCCUUUCAAAAUGUUACUUUGGGUCUUUUAAACUUUUCCAGUGUGCUACCACAUAAUUCUGGCAUUCAUAGGGGGUUUACAAAUAUAAGAAUUUUAAGAUUUUCUUUAAAAAGUUGAUAAUUGAGCUGAUCCACAGUAAAUUCAACACAAGUUAGAUGGAACCGUCUGAAUCCAGUAUUAAAAUUAAAAAAGCAUAUCUAGAGACAGACCACUUUAGUCCUCUAUGACUUAAUGCAGGAUGCUUUUCUGAAUUUACUCUAAAUAGGAAUUGUAUAAAAAGGAAGGCAUGUGUCUACCUUUUGUUUUGAUAAUUAACUCUGAGGAGUGUACAUUCCAAGUUGAUCGGCUGAAUAAACAUUCAACUUGCAGUCAUAUUCAAAUUUUGAGAUUGUUUUCUUGAUAAUAUUUUCCAAUUUACGAAUUUCUUAAAAACAAUCAGAUUUUUUUUUUAACUUGGAAGGAUAAUAAUAUGUAUGAAAAAAAUACCUUGGC